AGUGUUGGUCAGUCGACAGAGGAACUCGUACUGAACGUCGCAACGACAAUACCGCACCUCACAGAAAAUUCUGAGAAGAGGGUUGGCAACAGGGUACCGCAACCUCCAAUCAAUUACAUCAUACUUGACUGCUCAGCUAUGACGUUUAUAGAUGACGUUGGUAUCAAGGUGCUGAAACAGGUUAUGUCUGAAUACAAGAAAGUCAACAUCUGUGUGCUGCUUGCUAUGUGUAGAGCCCAAAUCAGAGGUAUGCUACAGAAAAGCAACUUUAGUGACAAGUUUGGUGAUGAUUUUAUAUAUUUCAUGGUUCAUGAUGCCGUGAUGGCCGCAA